UCUCCUAUGCCAUUUUAAUACUAUUAUUUAAUGUGUAAAACAGAAUUUUUAAGUCAUAUGGACCAGGGACCGUCAUGGUCACCAUUCACUUUCAUUGUAUAGAAAAGAGCAGCUUGGAUAGUCUGCUAAACAUCUCCUUUUGUGUUUCACAAAAAAGAGAAAGUCAUGUAGGUUUGAACAUCAUGAGAAUUAAUAUAUUAACAAACUACCCCCAUAGACAUGCCCUUUCUAAUGUUGAAAUAGAUUAGGAUUGCUGGAGGGAUGACAGUCACAUCUAUACUUUGGACAAUGCUGGUAGAACUGAAAUCUUUGUUGGCAUGUUAUUUAUGGUUGAAGUGUAAAUGUGUAUAUUGGCCUACAUGGGUUUGGUUAAUCUUAUCACCUUACACCAACUGUUUGCCUGCUGUGUAGUAAACCGUGGUAAACACGGACAUUAGAGCCCACCUAAUAGCCUUGGGUCCUUUCUGUGCCACAGCUGUAAUCAAGGGUGUUCACUCUUUUUCUGUCUUCCUUUCUCUCUCUCUCCUUUGUGCAGGGGAGCUAAGAUGGGGCCAUGUUCCCUGGCAGAGUUCCAUACACAGAUCACCCUCCCACUGGAACGCCUGAUUCCAGUUCAGCCCUUUACAAGACAUGCCAGGACCCUUUGUGUGCCAGGCUGGGCUGGGUAAGAGCAAAUCUACCUCUUGAAAACCAUAGCUGCUUCUUCAACAGACCAUCAUUGAGCCUUCGCAACAUUGCCUUAUACAUGCUUACAUGAACAGAAAUAAAUGGCUUCUGUUGAAUUUCAGUACAGAGACGUAUAAUCUAAAAGGGAGCAGUGUCUGAAGACUAAUAGAAAUUGAGCCAAUUAAAAGCUGUGUGGCUGGCAUUUGUAUUUUUAUAUUUACAUUCUCUGCAGACUGUUUCUUACUGAAACAUUUUUUAAUGCAGACACAAAAUCUAAAUGUUUAAUUCUAUUUCUUGAUAUGUUAAAUGUCUACAGAUAAUUACUUUAGGUAAAUAAACCCCAAUUUUUAUAUGUCUUCAAUUUGUGAUACAUACAGUAGAUCAAAAUCAUAUUUUGGACAUAAUUGCUAAAAAGAAAACAACAAGUGAGGUUUUAAAUAUGAAUGUAAGACUAUAAUACAGCAUGAAAGUUUUAAUAAUAAUAAUAAUAAUAAUAAUAAUAAUAUGUAAUCAUAUUUGUAUUAUAAAGUAUUAUUUACUUUUAAAACAAUUUAAUUAACAAAAAUAUUUACAUGCUUUCCCUUUCUAAGCUUUUUUUUAAAUUGUCAGUUUCUAAACUUUUAUAAAGUAGGGCACUUUUUGUGAGGAAAUAUACCUACUGUCUCUCUCUCUUUCCGUCCGUCUCCCCAUCUCUCUCUCUCUCUCUCUCUCUCCUCUCUCUCUCACUCUCUCUCUCUCUCUCUCUCUCUCUCUCUUUUCUCUUUCUCUCUCUCUCUUCCCCUUUAAACGGGGAGGUACUCUAGCGUUUCUCCACUGCCUGGGGCUCAGAGACAUGUCGGAAACCUCCCACGAGGGGCCCCGUGUAAUUCGAUGCAUGCUGUUAAAGCUUAGAGUAUAUUGUCUUCUCUUGCUUAUGAAGCCUCCACCCACCGGCCCACCCUACAUUUAACAGAUCAUGUGACCGUGGUAAGUCAUUUGCAAGUACAACAGUUCUCUGUGAGCUCCCAUUCAUUUCCUGAGAACUGCCCUGAGCAGCUGAGAGGAGCUGAGAGGGGAGGGAGUCACACACACACACAGAGAGAGAGAGACAGACAGACAGAGAGGACUGUAUAAGGAAGACAGUUUCUGUCGCUCUGCAGCUCCUGGUCAGGUCUGUGUAUAUUUUAUUCUCUUUUGCCUUUUCUUGCUGUUCUUUUUCCUUUUCUUCUUUGAAUGCCUCUGUCUUGCUUGUUUGUCUGCUGUCACUGUAGUGUUACGCAAAUGACAAGUCUGAUGCAGUCCAGCCUUCUAUAACAAUCGUACAAUGCAGGUGGCCAAAGACAUGAUAAAAAAGCAUGGUGUCAUUUUUUUCCUAUGGAGUUCUUUCAGUUUGAAAUGUACAUUAAGUGCUAUACACAAUAUAAAUGUACAAUAAAAUGAUUUGAAGUGUCUCAACAGAGUUGAAUUAAUUUUCAGGUUCACAAAGUGUGUUUAGGAAUUUAUAGAGGUGUUUUUAGAAAAGAUCACAUUUUUUUAAAAAACAGGCAAAAGGUUUUUCUGGGUUAAAUACUGACACGCUGUGAGAAAAGUGUGUGCGAGGGAAGGGAGGCGGAGGUCUCUAAGCGGCCACUGUUCCACUCUCGAAAAAGUUUGAUCCCCCUCGUUCGGCAUGCAUGCAUGAACGCAAGGGAGUGUGAGCGUGUAUGUGUGCGUUUGCCGAUGGCACGUGCAUCUCAGAAGCGAUGACAGGCUUCCCGGUGAGUGGAGUUACCGUGGUGACAAACUGGGGUAGGAAUCAGACUCAAGUGGUGGAGGAAGGACAGUGAGGGGGCGGGAGGCAAGCGUUUGUAUGUGUGCGCCGGGGUGUUGCAGGGGUGGUGUCGUGGAUGUCAUCUGCUCCUCAAGGAACAUGCAUUGGUAUUGAUGGCUGGCUGUCAGUGACGGGCUCCUGGCUUGGUGCGUUGUGUCUGUGGGCUGGCCCGUGGCUGUUCUUUUCAAUUACGGCAGACCUGGCCACAACUGACAGCGAAGGCAUUUGUUCGUGGAGAGAGUGAUGUGGAGGUCGAUGUGCAUUUGUGUGUGUGUAAUUGUGGGUGGAGGUAGGAUCCCCUAUGAUUGCGUGUGGGUGUACUUUGAUACGGUAACUGUGUCCUGAUCUGUGUGACUCUACACAGUGCAAAUGUUGGUCACUCAGCCUUAAACUGUGAGGCAGCCACUGCUGCUCAAGGCUAUUCUGCCAGAGAGAUGAGGUUAUUUAAUGCUCUUAUUGCGGUUAAAAGACACUUGUUAAUAAAGUGAGUGUAUGUAUGUAUUGUCUAAAACACUAGUAGUAAACAGUACUAUUGCUGCUGAUACUGUAGUUCACGUUGACCACAAAUGGCAUUUAGUGGUGCUCAGUAAGCAACCAUUAACUUUCAUUAUUCCUCAUUUUUAUGGUCAGGCAUUUGAGUGAUGCCUCAAAUUGGGUGGCUUGUUCAGCAGAGGUGAUCAGAUUUACGGUUUUCACCUGGUGGACCAUAAAAUGGUUGGGAAAAAGCCCUUAGAUUUACACAGAAUAAAGGAUCUUUGUCUUUGAGGUGGUCUCUUAUGUCUUGGGUCAGUAAGUAACCACCUAGCAACCACUUAGAACACCUUAUCAACUGCAUAGCAACAUGCUACAAGCCUCUUAGAACAUCCUUAGCAACCGCAACCAAAUCCCUGGCAACCACCCUGAACACCCUAGCGUUGUGGCGGUGAGUUUUGCACAGACAAGCAGCACUUACGUUGUUGUAAUAUAAUAAUAAAAAAAGGUUCAGUUUUUGUUUUAGCGUGUUUUUAAUGUUCAAAUCUCAGUUUAUUUUGUUGUUAUGUAACUGUUCAUGUUCUAGACAUCUUUUUCAAAUGUAUUAAUUUAGAUCAUUUUAGAUCCAAAUCUGUUUUCAUUUGAGCUAUAUACACUGUACGAUUCAAAUCUGAGGUCAGUAUGAUUUUUAAAUUUUUUUAUUAAUAGCUUUCUUCAGCAAGGAUACAUUAAACUGAUCAAAAGUGACAGCACAGGCAUUUAUAAUGAUACAAAAGAUUUAUAACUUAAAUAAAUGCUGUUCUUUUGAACUUUCUAUAUUUUUGAAUACUUAAAAAAAAAAAAAUCACAUACAAAUUUUAAAAUUGUUUUCUAACAUUGAUAAUAAAAAGGAAUGUGUUUGAGUACCAAAUCAGCAUAUUAUAAUGAUUUCUGAAGAAUCAUGUGACAUUGAAGAGUAAUGCCUGCUGAAAAUUCAGCUUUGCCAUCGCAGGAAGAAAUUACAUUUUAAAAUAUAUUAAAAUUUAGCGAUUUUAAAUUGCAAUAAUAUUUGACAAUAUUACUGUUUUCACUGAAUUUUUGAUCAAAGAAAAUGCAGACUUGAUACGCAUAAGAAACUUAAUUCAAAAACAUUGACAUCUUACCAAGCCCAAACUUUUGAAUGUUGUAUACUGAUAUAUUCAAGAGCAUGUUGGACACACUCUGAUAAAAAUAAAAGCUUCAGUUUGAUUCAGUGACUUUGUGAAGUAUAUUCCCUAUCAGAAGAGUAUUGAAGGAUUUUAUCCGUGGCUCAGUGAUUGCAAUCAGCUAGAUAGAGGGCUCAAUAAUGGGACCCAAUAAUCACAGGACAGCGUAUCUGCUUAUCACCUCUGCUUUAUGGCUGUGCUGGAGGAUUCCAUUAAAACAAUCUCUAUAGCCACACAACUGGGCCCUGCUGGCCAUGUGGAUCGGGAAUUAAGGUUUAGCGCCCUUCUGCUCGGAGGAGCUUCACACAGGUGGGCUGGGGAUAGUGAAUUAUUGAUGGGACUUGCCAGAGACUGGACACCUUGCUGAAGGGAUUAUCUGGGAAAUCCUUCGAAAGAUACCACUAGAGCUUUAGCCCAGGAAGUGGGAUGGAUUCAGUCCCAAACCGGCCCCAUCUGUCCCAGACUCAACCCAGGGGACUCAGGAAUGCCCGUGUGGUCUACAUAGCUGUCGACCCCAGCUGAUCAAAUGUUCAGUUUUGCCCUCAAUCCCGCUUUAGUGACAAACAGCUAAAGAGCACAACACAUUCAGAGUGUGGACAUGUUGAGUUAAUGUUGGGUCAGGGUCUGUCACCGGUCCUGUGUGGCGGCACAGAGAGUGUGUCGUUUUAAUGAUACCCUUCACUGCACUGACGGAUCCAGGUGUGAGUUCUGUAUAGCCAGACUAAACAGAAUGAUUUAUGUGGUGCAUAGUAUGAAAUAGUACGAAAAAUAGUUUGUCAUUCCUUAUUGGAUCAUAACAUACAGAUAUGCGUUUGCACUUAGGCUGGCUUCAUGCAUGUCGGUGUGUGAUUCAGUAGAAUAAUGACUCCGAAAUGUUUGGAAACUCAGAAAGGAAUGUUAUAAUUGUUUUAUAAUACAAGAGGGAUAUGGAUAAUAUAUUCACCUACUUAGGGUCUGUCACCGGUCCUGUGUGGCGGCACAGAGAGUGUGUCGUUUUAAUGAUACCCUUCACUGCACUGACGGAUCCAGGUGUGAGUUCUGUAUAGCCAGACUAAACAGAAUGAUUUAUGUGGUGCAUAGUAUGAAAUAGUACGAAAAAUAGUUUGUCAUUCCUUAUUGGAUCAUAACAUUACAGAUAUGCGUUUGCACUUAGGCUGGCUUCAUGCAUGUCGGUGUGUGAUUCAGUAGAAUAAUGACUCCGAAAUGUUUGGAAACUCAGAAAGGAAUGUUAUAAUUGUUUUAUAAUACAAGAGGGAUAUGGAUAAUAUAUUCACCUACUUUCCAUCUUAUGUAUGCUG
rnacentral:lncRNA from 1 species